rnacentral:rRNA from 1 species
GAUGAACGCUGGCUACAGGCUUAACACAUGCAAGUCGAGGGGAAACGACGGGGAAGCUUGCUUCCCCGGGCGUCGACCGGCGCACGGGUGAGUAACGCGUAUCCAACCUGCCUCUGACUGAGGGAUAACCCGUCGAAAGUCGGCCUAAUACCUCAUGGUAUCGUCUGCGGGCAUCCAACGACGAUUAAAGAUUUCAUCGGUCGGGGAUGGGGAUGCGUCUGAUUAGCUUGUUGGCGGGGUAACGGCCCACCAAGGCUACGAUCAGUAGGGGUUCUGAGAGGAAGGGCCCCCACAUUGGAACUGAGACACGGGCCAAACUCCUACGGGAGGCAGCAGUGAGGAAUAUUGGUCAAUGGGCGAGAGCCUGAACCAGCCAAGUAGCGUGCAGGAAGACGGCCCUAUGGGUUGUAAACUGCUUUUAUGCGGGGAUAAAGUGAGGGACGGGUCCCUCAUUGCAGGUACCGCAUGAAUAAGGACCGGCUAAUUCCGUG